UUCUAUUGAUUUCUUCAUAUUUCAUUCACAUGCUAAUUUUCAUGACAUAGCAUACUACGUGCUAUUGCUUGGCUAUUUGCUAAAAUCGCGGCAUCGUGAACUCUCGGUUCGCAUGGCACCGCUCGCGUCGAGUAUUAUUUCGCAUCGA